CAUGAUCUAUCUAGAAACUUAGGCUGGUAGUUGGUUUUAAGGUACAGUUAUGAUAAUGGAGAUUUGUAAUUGAGAUUGGACUCAAAUGUGGAUUGGAUGCUUAGAUGUAUCCAUAGACUGUCUUAUUUUUGCAACAGUGUCAAUUAAACAUGAAAAGAAAGGGAGAGAUAUCAAACUUCUUUUUAAGGAAGCACAACCAGGCAGAUCAGGUGCAAACAGACCCCAGGCCUUGCAUCACCACUGGACCCCAGAGCAGCUAGCCUACCUGAGGCUAGUCAGAGUCAGUGUGGUCAGACUUCACAAGGACCCAGUCUACCACCACCAGAUGUAUCAAGGGACGACACAGAGACCUCUGGCUCUGAGCAGGACAGUGAGCCAGAGCUGCCAGGAGAUGUCAUCGAGCCCCUACCAACUUGCAUCAAGCACCAGAUGUGCUGUUCCAAAAGGACCCAGUGACGUUUCCAGAUCCAGAGAAGAGGGUCCUGUAUAGCCGUGUUUGAAAACAUUUCCCAGAACUCAGCAUGGUACUAGGAAAAGGGCUUUCAACAGCUCCUGGUAUAAGGACAAUUCAUGACUGGAAUAUUCUGUAAGUCAAGAUAACGACUUAUUGUUGGCUCUGUUUAAAUAUUCUGGAUUUAAGCUCAAUUCGAAGGCAGAGCAUCGUAUCAAUGCUAUGUAUGCUUGGAAUCAACACAAAAGGUCUAGUGAAAGCAACUCAUCAAUGUUAGAUGUCAUAGAUGAGGACUGGAAAAAGAAAGUGGAGGAAAACUGUACUUGCAUUAAAACAAUUGUAGAUAUGCUUCUAUUAACUGUCACUCAGUAUACCGCAGAGAGGUCAUCGAGAGUCUGCUGACUCUCACAACAAGGGUAAUUUUGACCCUCUCAUAGAGAAAAGGAUGAAUGCAUGUGGCAAUGGUAAGUACACAAGCCACCAAAUCCAGAACGAAGUUCUUGAGGGCUUAGCUGAGAUGGUAAAAGUGAAAUAAUAAGAGAAGUAAACGAAAGUUGUUUUUAGUGUAAAUGCAGAUGAAACCAAAGAUAACAUUUUUUUUUUUUUUUUUUUUUUUUACAAAUGUCUUUAGUUGUGAGGUACUAUUACAAUGGGGCCAUCCACAAAAGCUUUUUACACUUUCAGUCAGCUGAAAGCAUAGAUGCAGCAGGUCUCACAAAAAUGAUAAUUGAUUGCCUUAAUAAUCUUGUGGGGCAAGGCUGUGAGGCUGCAUCCGUCAUGAGCGGAAAGCAUUCUGGUGUGUCUGCACGGAUUAAAAACAGUGCAAGAUUUGCAUUUUAUGUGCACUGUAAUGCACAUUGUUUGAAUUUGGUUCUUGUCGAUGCUGUAAAAUCAGUGCCUGAGGCAGUUCACUUUUUUGCUCUCCGGCAGAAGCUUUAUAACGUUGUAUCUGGCUCGUACGUUCAUCUCAAGUGACUUACAGUUCAGAAAGAGCUGUAUCCACAGCAGCAGCCCAGGGAACUACAGAGACUUACAGAUGUAAGGUGGGCAUGCAGAGACAUGGCAUGCCGUAAUCUGAGGGACAGGCUUCCAGCAGUUGAGUGCCACAGGAUAUCACACUUGAAAAUAGUGGUGAUGUCACAUCCUGAUCAGUUUCACCUGUCCUUUUUAUUGUCUCCACCCCCUCCCGGUGUUGCUUGUUAUCCCUGAUGUAUAUAACCCUGUGUUUCCUGGCUCGCUGUGCCAGUUUGUCUUGUAUGUUCCAAGUCAACCAGCGUGUUUUCCCCGUGCGCCUGCCUUUUUCUAUUCUCUUUUACUAGUCCUCCCGGUUUUGAACCUUGCCUGUUUUCUGGACUCUGUACUCGCCUGCCUGACCAUUCUGCCUGCCCUGACCUCAAGCCUGCCAGCCACACUGUACCUCCUGGACUCUGAACUCGUUUUGACCUUUUGCCUGUCCACGACCAUUCUCUUACCUACCCCUUUUGGAUACAACAAAUAUCAAAGAUUCAAACCAUCUGCCUUCCGUGUCUGCAUCUGGGUCUCGCCUUGUGCCCUUAUAGAUGAUAGAUCAGUAGAGGCAAGGGGCCUUCUUUCUCAGAUAGAUUUACAUUUCAUAGCGCUUUUGGUUACCUUUUGUUAAGUGCUUGGUGAUGCCAAAUGUCUUUCUGACAUGCUCCAAUCAAGCUCUCUUGACCUAGCAAGGUCUGUGGAUUUAGUAGGUGCCCUUACAGACACAUUACAGGACUACAGAAGUGAGGGUUACUUUGCAGAACUAUGGAAAGAGAUUGCAGAGCACUGCAAAAUAAGUGUACAAACAGUGUGUAAAAGACAGCCUAAAACAAGCUUGAGAUUUCAUGACUCAUUGAUGAUGAGCACUGUAGGACAGAAAAAUAGUGGCCAAAGUGAUGGUUUCUGUCACACCAGUCAGCAGUGCUUUUUGCGAGAAGCUUCUCAGCUUUAAAACUGAUUCAAACCCACCUUAGGACAACAAUGGUUGAUGACAGGUUAAGUCACCUCGGAAUCCUCAGUGUUGAGUCAAGGAGGGCACGCUCCCUCAACAUGGAUGAGUUUGUGAAACAUUUAGCCAGUUCUCACCAGAACAGCAGAAGUAUUCUGUUUUAAAUCUACCUAUGAUAAUUUGGCACUUAGGCGGUCCCUCUGGUCAUGAUUAAAACCUGCACUGUGUACUAGCUAAUACACUGAUGUUCUAAAAUGAUCAUUCCAAAGGGUAUCACACUGAUUUAAUUUGGUCUUGAUUAGGCCAAUUCCAAAACUUUUCAUUGCUCUUAGUUAACAUAAUAUAUAUGAGCAUAAAUAUGAUACUGUAAGUUUGUUGUAUUGAUGGGCAACAAAAUUAUUUUUAUUUUUCUGCUUCUUAUUUCUGUCCAUUUCUGCUUGAUACCUGGUAUGUCAAAUUGCGGUGUGUUUUUUUGUAAAUUUACUUUUUUUGUAAAUAAGCUAUUCAAUUUAUGUAACACACAAAUGCUAUCUUAUCUCCUUGGUGCUUAAGCUUUUUUUUCUGAAAAUAAUUUUGAUGUUCAACA